GUUUUAAAUUAUUGUUGGAAAUGUCCAAUACGUAUACUUAAGCCUCGAGGGUCUACAUAUUAGUUCGUACCGCGAAGAGUGUGGCAUAUGGUUGGAGCCGAUUGGGACGCGACGAGGAGCCAGGUGUGGCAUUGGUAGGUUAAGUAGCCUAUCUGUUACACUACGGGCUGAAGAGUUUCCCAAUCGCGAGUGACUCAGACGCAUUAUAGGGCAGACAGAAGACAGCGUAAGUCACACAGGAUGUAACUGCAAAUUUAGAAGUAUAUAAACACAAGUCAUUCUGUACGAUUGCCCAACUUCCAAACGAAUGAUGUCCAAAUAGGCUGCAUGCCAUGUCAGACUUUUGGUAGACCGAUCGUUUGCGGUGCCGCGUCUGUAUCGAGGAUGGCUGAUGUGUGACUAGUUUUAAACGCCAAACAGUGAGAAAAGGAAAGCAACAUUUCAUUUGUAAUUUUCAAAGAGUGGGCUCUCGUUACAAAAUGAUGAUUUCCUGCAUCCUUUGGCUACCACAUCAUGUGUAACUGUGGUUGAGGGUCAUACUACAAAGUGAGGUUAUUGGCUUAUCCAGGUAACUUAAGGAGUAACUGCUGUUCGCUAAUCUCAGAAGAACACAUCACUUUUGAAACAACACAUGCUUGAUGUCCAUAAAGCACGGGUCUGGAGAUAUGACCUUCCCAUUCCAGCAUGUAGACCAACCAAGCCACAUGUAUUUGCUUUCAAGAGGAGACAUCUUUAUUGGAGACAUGAUCUUGUCAGAAGAUUCUCGGGAUUCUCCAUAGACCACACAUAGGGUUGAAGUUGACGUGAGUUUACAUGCCUCUCUGAUGGUAUGGACCAAGGCCUACAGACGAGUGUCCUUUAAUGUGAGCAAGGGUGUGUUUUUGGCCUGGGCAGUACAGCUGAUGCCAGUGCUGUUUCUGGAUGAUGAAUGCCAUGCCGCUCCACAUUCUUGGCUCCGGGGGCUGCUUGCUUUGGGACAACUCUGGGAGAAGCUGAUUACAGGACUUUUAAAUGCCACCGCAUCAGGCCAGCCCAUAAGGAAUGAUUAGUUAGCUGACUGUGGUGUCAUGUGUUGCUGGGUUCAUGGAUAUUGUUGCUAUGUCUGUACCUUUAUUAAUAAAAGGACA